UACGGAGGGUGCGAGCGUUGUCCGGAAUCAUUGGGCGUAAAGGGCGCGUAGGUGGCCCGGUCAGUUCGUGGUGAAAGCGCGGGGCUCAACCCUGCGUCGGCCAUGAAUACUGCCGCGGCUGGAGCACGGGUAGAGGCAGAUGGAAUUCCCGGUGUAGCGGUGGAAUGCGUAGAGAUCGGGAAGAACACCAGUGGCGAAGGCGGAUCUGCUGGGCCGUUGCUGACGCUGAGGCGCGACAGCGUGGGGAGCAAACAGG
rnacentral:rRNA from 1 species